UACGUAGGGUGCGAGCGUUGUCCGGAAUUAUUGGGCGUAAAGGGCUCGUAGGCGGUCUGUCGCGUCGGGCGUGAAAACUCAGGGCUUAACCCUGAGCCUGCUUCCGAUACGGGCAGACUAGAGGUAUGCAGGGGAGAACGGAAUUCCUGGUGUAGCGGUGGAAUGCGCAGAUAUCAGGAGGAACACCGGUGGCGAAGGCGGUUCUCUGGGCAUUACCUGACGCUGAGGAGCGAAAGCGUGGGGAGCGAACAGG
rnacentral:rRNA from 1 species